rnacentral:rRNA from 1 species
UGCCAGCCGCCGCGGUAAUACGAAGGGUGCUAGCGUUGUUCGGAAUUACUGGGCGUAAAGCGCGCGUAGGCGGUGUGCAUAGUCAGAGGUGAAAGCCCGGGGCUCAACCCCGGAACUGCCUCUAAUACUGCUAGUCUUGAGUUCGAGAGAGGUGAGUGGAAUUCCGAGUGUAGAGGUGAAAUUCGUAGAUAUUCGGAGGAACACCAGUGGCGAAGGCGGCUCACUGGCUCGAUACUGACGCUGAGGUGCGAAAGCGUGGGGAGCAAACAGGAUUAGAUA